CUCGGCAACGGAUAUCUCGGCUCUUGCAUCGAUGAAGAACGUAGCGAAAUGCGAUACUUGGUGUGAAUUGCAGAAUCCCGUGAACCAUCGAGUCUUUGAACGCAAGUUGCGCCCGAAGCCAUUAGGCCGAGGGCACGCCUGCCUGGGUGUCACACAUCGUUUCC
rnacentral:rRNA from 1 species